rnacentral:rRNA from 1 species
GACGAACCGUGCGAACGUUAUUCGGAAUCACUGGGCUUAAAGGGCGCGUAGGCGGGCCGAAAAGCCAGGGGUGAAAUCCUCCAGCCCAACUGGAGAAGCGCCUUUGGAACUGGCGGCCUCGAGGGGUGCAGGGGCAUGCGGAACUCAGGGUGGAGCGGUGAAAUGCGUAGAUAUCCUGAGGAACACCGGUGGCGAAAGCGGCGUGCUGGACACCUUCUGACGCUGAGGCGCGAAAGCCCAGGGGAGCGAACGGG